rnacentral:rRNA from 1 species
GACGAACGCUGGCGGCGCGCUUAACACAUGCAAGUCGAGCGAAGCUGCGGACGGGUGAGUAACCCGUGAGUAACCUGCUUUAGACAUUGGGCUAGCCUCGGGACACCGGGAUUAAUACCAAAUGGUCUCAGAUGGACUGGGGUCCCAUUAGCUAGUUGGUGGGUAACGGCCCACCAAGGGCCCGAUGGGGAGCCGGCCAGAGAGGGGGAACGGCCACAUUGGAACUAGGAAACGGUCCAAACUCUGCGGGAGGCAGCAGUGGCGAAUAGUGCACAAUGGAGGGAACUCUGAUGCAGCGACGCCGCGUGAACAAAGAAGGCUUUCGAGUCGUAAAGGUCUUUUAUAUGGGAAGCGGUACCCUAAGAAAAAGCCCCGGCUAACUACGUGCCAGCAGCCGCGGUAAUAC